GCGGAUGUGGCGGAAUUGGCAGACGCGUUAGAUUCAGGUUCUAAUGGCCACUAGGCUGUGCAGGUUCAAGUCCUGUCAUCCGCA
rnacentral:tRNA from 1 species